AAUUUCUGUGCUUUCUUGUGCUUUUUUUUUUCUCUAGCAAAGGCAAGCUUGAGAUAGCAUCAAAGAAAAGCACAAGAAAGCACAGAAAUUGGACAUAAUCUUUCUUGCAGUCACUACCACCCCAAAACUGUUCUUUCCAAUUUAAUACGCCUACAAUGAUAGUUAAACCUAUGAUGCAGCUGUGCUGCCCAAUGUUUCUUUUUUUUAUUUAGUGUUACAGUGUAGUUCUAUGUUGAAGUAUAUCCUGAGCGUUCGGAGAUUGUAUUAGUUGCAACAUAUGCACUCGUACACUUUGUAUAACCAAUGGCAAUGCAUCAACCUCCAUAUAGUUCAACUCCCAUGAAUACACUUGGUAUCGAGAAGGAAAAACCUCCACGACAAAUGCAAUAAAUACCAGAAUGUCCCAGUAGGGACCUAAGUCAUCAAUGGAGUUCUUUCAUGAUAAUGCCUUCUUUUUAAUUUUCCAUGCCGACGAAAUAAACGAAAUGUUAUCACACAACCAAGAAGAACCAUCUGUAGGAUUAUCACCAUCUUCAAACCUUUUGCUUUAUGCAAUAAGUCGUCCAAAAGAACAUCAUCUUUUGAUUCCUUUGCAUCAAUAGAUAAGACAAUAUUUUUAGCCCUGUACUCCAAAUUUCCACCCAUGACACAUGUGUUUGGGCAAUUAAUUCCACCAUCAUACUCAUCGCUUCCAUCACAGCAAUCACAAAUUCGAUCAUUAACACGAGAUGAAAAAAUAAACUGAGGUUUACUUCCUAAAUUGCUGCAAUAAAAUUUGCCUCUGGGACAGGCUGAAGUUCCGGGUUCGUCUGUCCCAUCAACGCAAUCGCAGAAAUUAUCAUUGAGACGGUCUCUGGUGAAGGAUUUCGAGCCGUCCUUGCACUUGAUGACCCGCGAAGCAAAGUACUUCUGAUCUAAGGGGUGGACACCCAGGAGAGGUGAUUUUGAGUGAGCAGAGAAUACAAGGAAAUAGAAGGAGAAGAGGAAGGCAAUGGCAUGGCUGAGACUGCAAUUGAUUGUCUCCAUGGUUCUUGAGAAUUUGCCUUUGAAACUUCAGAACCUAUAUGAUGGGCUCAUGUUUUUAUGGCCAGAGGAAAG
rnacentral:misc_RNA from 1 species